AGUGAACGCUGGCGGUAGGCCUAACACAUGCAAGUCGAACGGCAGCACAGUAAGAGCUUGCUCUUACGGGUGGCGAGUGGCGGACGGGUGAGGAAUACAUCGGAAUCUACUUUUUCGUGGGGGAUAACGUAGGGAACUUUCGCUUAUUCCCCAUUCGACCUUCGGGUUAAAGCAGGGGAUUUUCGGACCUUUCGCCAUUUAAUUAGCCGAUGUCGGAUUAGCUAGUUGGCGGGGUAAAGGCCCACCAAGGCGACGAUCCGUAGCUGGUCUGAGAGGAUGAUCAGCCACACUGGAACUGAGACACGGUCCAGACUCCUACGGGAGGCAGCAGUGGGGAAUAUUGGACAAUGGGCGCAAGCCUGAUCCAGCCAUACCGCGUGGGUGAAGAAGGCCUUCGGGUUGUAAAGCCCUUUUGUUGGGAAAGAAAAGCAGCAGGUUAAUACCCCGCUGUUCUGACGGUACCCAAAGAAUAAGCACCGGCUAACUUCGUG
rnacentral:rRNA from 1 species